GAUGAAGAACGUAGCGAAAUGCGAUAAGUAAUGUGAAUUGCAGAAUUCAGUGAAUCAUCGAAUCUUUGAACGCACCUUGCGCCCUUUGGCUAUUCCGAAGGGCAUGCCUGUUUGAGUAUCAUGAACAUCUCAACUCCUCACGGUUCGCCCGUGACGAGCUUGGACUUUGGGGGUCUUGCCGGCCUGCGGGUCGGCUCCUCUCAAAUGAAUCAGCUUGCCGGUGUUUGGUGGCGUCACAGGUGUGAUAAAUAUCUACGCUUGUGGUUUUCCGCCAGGUAACCUCCAGCGAUGGGGGUUCACUGGAGCUCACGAAUGUCUCUCCUCGGUGAGGACAGCUCUUUGAACGUUUGAUCUCCAAUCAGGUAGGGCUACCCGCUGAACUUAAGCAUAUCAUAAGCGGAGGA
rnacentral:misc_RNA from 1 species